rnacentral:rRNA from 1 species
GAAACGGUAGCUAAUACCGCAUAACGUCGCAAGACCAAAGAGGGGGACCUUCGGGCCUCUUGCCAUCGGAUGUGCCCAGAUGGGAUUAGCUAGUAGGUGGGGUAAAGGCUCACCUAGGCGACGAUCCCUAGCUGGUCUGAGAGGAUGACCAGCCACACUGGAACUGAGACACGGUCCAGACUCCUACGGGAGGCAGCAGUGGGGAAUAUUGCACAAUGGGCGCAAGCCUGAUGCAGCCAUGCCGCGUGUAUGAAGAAGGCCUUCGGGUUGUAAAGUACUUUCAGCGGGGAGGAAGGGAGUAAAGUUAAUACCUUUGCUCAUUGACGUUACCCGCAGAAGAAGCACCGGCUAACUCCGUGCCAGCAGCCGCGGUAAUACGGAGGGUGCAAGCGUUAAUCGGAAUUACUGGGCGUAAAGCGCACGCAGGCGGUUUGUUAAGUCAGAUGUGAAAUCCCCGGGCUCAACCUGGGAACUGCAUCUGAUACUGGCAAGCUUGAGUCUCGUAGAGGGGGGUAGAAUUCCAGGUGUAGCGGUGAAAUGCGUAGAGAUCUGGAGGAAUACCGGUGGCGAAGGCGGCCCCCUGGACGAAGACUGACGCUCAGGUGCGAAAGCGUGGGGAGCAAACAGGAUUAGAUACCCUGGUAGUCCACGCCGUAAACGAUGUCGACUUGGAGGUUGUGCCCUUGAGGCGUGGCUUCCGGAGCUAACGCGUUAAGUCGACCGCCUGGGGAGUACGGCCGCAAGGUUAAAACUCAAAUGAAUUGACGGGGGCCCGCACAAGCGGUGGAGCAUGUGGUUUAAUUCGAUGCAACGCGAAGAACCUUACCUGGUCUUGACAUCCACGGAAGUUUUCAGAGAUGAGAAUGUGCCUUCGGGAACCGUGAGACAGGUGCUGCAUGGCUGUCGUCAGCUCGUGUUGUGAAAUGUUGGGUUAAGUCCCGCAACGAGCGCAACCCUUAUCCUUUGUUGCCAGCGGUCCGGCCGGGAACUCAAAGGAGACUGCCAGUGAUAAACUGGAGGAAGGUGGGGAUGACGUCA